GAAAGCUAGAGUAACUUCUGUUGUCAUUCAACCAUUUAGAAUGGCUCCCUGACAUCUAAAUUUCUUCAUUAUUUAUAUCAACUUUGAGCCUGAACCAGAAAUUCUAGUGAUGUAGGUGUCAGUCCUUCCACACUCAGAGACAGAACAACUAUAGCAAUGUUAAAUGGAUAAGGCCAGAGCCCAUAUAGAAGUGAAUGAACUACAAUUUACAUCAUGUGGGUCAUCUGCCCUAUAAUUCCCCAGAUCUGCUUUUGAGCACAGAUGAACAACGGAGAGAAAAAGCUAAGGAACAUUCUCUUGUAAUUGCAUUACUUCCAUGCCUCUUCUACUAGAGGAAUGUCGUGACUGUGAGGAAUCUGCCAAAGAGCCUUAAGUCUUUAGAGAAUCACAGAAUAUGCUGAGUUGGAAGGUAG